rnacentral:lncRNA from 1 species
CAUCGAACGCUUCUAAAUCUAGCCUCUAAGCCUUCUUCACCAGGCUGUCCUGGCCACUCUUAGGCAGAGCCUAGAAACAGUACCAGGAUGUCCCCUCCACACCACCCACCUUUUGUUUGUUUGUUUGUUUUCAGACAGGGUCUCGCUGCAUAAUUUCUCGCAGGCAUGGAACUGUCUGUGUAUUCCAGGCCAGCCUGGUCUCCAGAGCGAGUGCCAGGACAGGCUCCAAAGCUACACAGAGAAAGGCUGUGUACUAGGCCCGCAGCAAGCCCUUUUUUCCUCACCACCUCUAUUUUAAUUCUGUUAGUAGGAGCCUUUCUAAAAAUACUGGCCUUUUCAUUUCCCUCCUCUAAAAUUCCAAUGACAGUCAGUCCUAACUCUCACACAUUAUAGGGCAAGAGAAUCACAAAUUCAAAUCAUGCCUAGUUAGUGUAGUAGAAUUGUUUCAAAGUUUAAAAAAUGAAAAGAAGCCUGGAUAUAACACAGCGGAGGUAUGUUUGUUUAGUUUGCAUGCUCCUGGAUUCUAUCCCUAGCAUGCUCAAAAACAUUAUUUCAAUUAAGAAAAAAAAAAAAAAACAUGAAGCUGACUGGUGGUGGCGCAUGCCUUUAAUCCCUUCAUUAGGGAGGCAGAGGUAGGUAGGUAGAUCUCUGAGUUUGAGGCCAGUCAGGGCUCCAGAAGGAGUUCCAGGACAGUCAGGGUUACACAGAGAAGCCCUUAUCUCAAAGAAAACAAGCAAACAGAGAACAGUGCCUUAAAAGCAGGGGUGGGGGCAGACAUCCGUAACCCCUAGCACUAGGAGUCCAAGUCAGGACGAUGACAAUUUGUGGGCAGCCUGGGUUACCAUGGGAAGUUCUGGGCCAGCCUCAGUCACAUAGAAAGCUUUUGUCUAAAGAAAGAAAACAACAUCAACAACCCACAAGCAACUAAGUACCUGGCCUGGUGUUUCAUACCUUUUUAAUCCUAACACUCAAGAGGCAGAGGCCAGGGCUCUCUGUGAGUUAGAGAUCUAUGCUUGUUCUACAUAGCAAGUUCUAGGCCAGGUAGGGUUACAAAAUGUGACCCUGCCUCAAAACAACAAUAACAAAAUCAAACAGCAGCAACCAUAACAAAA